rnacentral:rRNA from 1 species
GAUGAACGCUGGCGGCGUGCCUAAUACAUGCAAGUCGAGCGGACAGACGAGGAGCUUGCUCCUCUGACGUUAGCGGCGGACGGGUGAGUAACACGUGGAUAACCUACCUAUAAGACUGGGAUAACUUCGGGAAACCGGAGCUAAUACCGGAUAAUAUAUUGAACCGCAUGGUUCAAUAGUGAAAGACGGUUUUGAUGUCACUUAUAGAUGGAUCCGCGCCGCAUUAGCUAGUUGGUAAGGUAACGGCUUACCAAGGCAACGAUGCGUAGCCGACCUGAGAGGGUGAUCGCCCACACUGGAACUGAGACACGGUCCAGACUCCUACGGGAGGCAGAAGUAGGGAAUCUUCCGCAAUGGGCGAAAGCCUGACGGAGCAACGCCGCGUGAGUGAUGAAGGUCUUCGGAUCGUAAAACUCUGUUAUUAGGGAAGAACAAAUGUGUAAGUAACUAUGCACGUCUUGACGGUACCUAAGCAGAAAGCCACGGCUAACUACGU